rnacentral:ncRNA from 1 species
UGAAACGCGUUGAUCGGAAAAGUAUUGACCGCCUUCAUUUAUCCAGCGACUUCCGUUUGGUGAGAGAGAAGAAAAUGAAACGGCCGAGAAAAUCAUCCGGGAGCGGUGAAUCGAACUUAAAGUAGAAUUCAUUGGUUGCAACCAUUAUCUUGCUAGCGUAUCGCGAUUUUGAAUCGCCGCACGUGAAGAGCUUUUAGCAGUGAUGCUAAAACAAAGUAAGGUGGUACCACGUUUAUUCAAACGUCCUUUGA